AGGAAGUAUGGUAAUACAUUCUUGUCAGCUGUCUGGGCAAAUCUUCUCUCGCAGAAUUGGAUUAAAAUUUAAUGUAUUUCAUUUCUCACUUCCAACGACAAAACGAUGUUGCAAUUGUUAGGCAGCUAUCAAGUCUCAAGAUAUGACAUAAUUUGAUAGAAUGUUAGUACCAAUGCUAUCAGUGCAUUCAAGUCGAGUUCUCGAUACAGGCCGAUCUUCCGAUGGAGUUUCGGUUGCCAUGGCAACAAAUCAUUAUGAUAAGGAAUUUGUAAACGUGCAGUCACAACUCGAUGUCGUGUACGGUGCGAGCGGUUAUUUUAUGAUAGGGAGCUGCUGGUAAACUACCGUCGCUAUACAUCGACUAUGACUACAAUCCUACUUUUAAAAACAAACUACAUACAUAUCUCACAUUUGCGAGGACUACUUCAUCACAAGCAAAAAAUCGCCAUUGGUAAAUAAAGUCUGUCUUCUAUAACCACGAUGAAAAGAAAAGCUGGGCGAAAAAAUUUGAGACUGCAGAACUGGAACACUCUAUUUGAAGACAGUGGCUGCUGAGUGCUGAGCUGCAUCAAAUCUAUCAGCAUCAUGUAACUUCGAUCAGGAACAGACUCCAUUUCAUUUCCGACAACUAGCACCUGUUUUCCCUAGACUUACCAAGUAUUAAGUAACUGCAUUAGUAUUAGGUUAAAUUAAAGGCCCUACAUCGAACAAGUCUAACAAUUAAAACUUAAAUGCAAGAGUGCACAAUUUAUCACUACAUAUCUUCCUCUUUUAAUUCUAAUCAACACACGGUUUCGUCUUUGUUUCACCCAAUCGUGCUGAUAAUCAGUAAUCAUGCACUCUGCACUCUAACUUCGAGAUGUUUCAAAAGGGCUCCCGACGAUUUGAAUUAUAUCAAUAUUUUCUUUUGAUACAUAGAUACUGAUUGGGAGGUUCAUCAUACUAUUCUUGUCACAUGGUAACGAUUAACGAUUAGCUGAUCAGCUUCCAGCAUCGACAGGCCGAAAUCCAUAAAUAUAAUCAGUUGUAAUAAUAAUUAUGCACACCUAUAAUUAACGAUUAUCCAUCUGCCGAUGAUCGAUUACCAUUUAAUAUUUAUCAUCGUCCGGAUCAUCAUAAUAUUUUAAUUUAAAGUUACAAUUGAACGGUGUUAAGAAAGAUAAUUUAAGAGAAAUGUUUUGAAAGUGCCUGAUUUCGAGUAUAAGAUCUGUACUGAUACAUUAAUUUUCAGAUUGUUAUUAUAUAGUUUAUUUGUAUUUGUUAUAUUAUCUUAUCCGCACAAGUUCGGAAGCCAUCUGAACGGUAUUGCCAGACACAGGCAUAUAUUUAUUUUGGGGUAUCAUGCUCUCAGAAACUUCAACUCAGUCCGAUAUUAUAGUUAUACUAACCUGCAUUGCAUAAGGUUAAUUGUCUCUCAGUCUAGUGCAUAAACCUUUUAUUUUGCAUAAACCCUUUAUUUUGAUUGGGAAAACUUUAGUUUAAUGUGGUUACCGUCUCUAAAGUUGGCAUGAUAGUUAAUAAACUCUUAUCUAUUAUGUCACUGAAGAUGACGCCUUUCAACAUGUUUGACGAUAGCCUGUAGAUUGAUAGUUUGAUCUCAGUAUUUACAACAAUUCAUCUAGUUCGAUUGAUUCAAAGGGAAACAAAUUCCUCUUUUAUCUAUUAUGACUAUAUUUAAAUUCAAUCCUGUAAAGUAAUACUCCUUUUUUAGUAAUUUA